rnacentral:siRNA from 1 species
UUCAAAGCUUUUAAAAUCCCUUGU